rnacentral:lncRNA from 1 species
GAGGCUGUGUGGAAUGCUGACCUGUCUACAUCAAGCUACCCAGUGGUAGAGAAAACACCAAUGAAUCUACUCUGGGCCCAGCUGGGCGGGUACCCAGAUAUUCCCAAACUGCUGCAGUUAGAUAUUCAGUCGACCUUAAGAAAAUCUCUUGCCUCCAUCUGCCCACGGUCUAAGAAGAUUCGAAAGUGAACACAAAACUAAAAGACAAGCACGUAGAAAUCAAAUUUCAAUGUUUCAGUAAAACGUUGGUUUUUGGCUUUUUGUCUUACAUAAAAUAUUAAUUAUUAUGUUUA